rnacentral:lncRNA from 1 species
UGUCUGUAGCCCAAUAUGCAGCUCGAUUUGUUCAACUAUCUAGGUUUACCCCUUUGAUGGUCACCUCGAAAGCCAAAAGGCUAAAAAGUUUCUCAAAGGCCUUCGUACCAGCAUUUAUGACUGGGUCGCGAUGCUGAGACCCAGCUCAUAUGCAGAGGUGCUUGAACAUGUCUAGUUAGCCAAAGAUCUUAUCUCGGCUAAGCACCAAUGCUUUGCAUGAGUUCGAGCCCAACAACAGCCCCAACAACUUAGAAGAUUA